AUUGAACGCUGGCGGCAGGCCUAACACAUGCAAGUCGAACGAGUGGCGGACGGGUGAGUAAUGUCUGGGAAACUGCCCGAUGGAGGGGGAUAAAUACUGGAAACGGUAGCUAAUAACGCAUACCAUCGGAUGUGCCCAGAUGGGAUUCGCUAGUAGGUGGGGUAACGGCUCACGUAGGCGACGAGCCCUAGCUGGUCUGAGAGGACGACCAGCCACACUGGAGCUGAGGCACGGUCCAGACGACUACGUGAGGCAGGAGUGGGGAAUAUUGCACGAUGGGCGCAAGCCUGAUGCAGCCAUGCCGCGGGUAUGAAGAAGGCCUUCGGGUUGUAAAGGACUUUCAGCGAGGAGGCGUUACGCGCAGAAGAAGCACCGGCUAACUCCGUGCCAGCAGCCGCGGUAAUUC
rnacentral:rRNA from 1 species